rnacentral:lncRNA from 1 species
AAUCCAUCAAAUAUCUUCACUUUCACAUACCCCAUUCCUUUAACCUCAAGUUCUUCAUUAUUAGCCAUCAUAAUAUUGUAGGUAUUACAUGACUUAUAAUCUUUAGAUGUCCUUGUAUGGGAUCAUAUAGUACAAACAUAUUCCAUAAUCAGCUAUAAACAUAAAAUCACCUUCAGGAUAUUAGUCACUAAAUAUCAUGUUUGUAGAAUCUUAAGCUUCCUCAGACUAUUGAUUCCUCUACGCUCUAAGAUAUUUCUUCAACCCAUGACCAUUUCUCCGUAUGUGCCACUUCUUAUGACACUAGUAAACUUCACCUCUCACAUGAAUCGAGAUUGAGAACGCUCCUCCAUUUUACCACACAAAUCACCUCUAUUAUGCUUGGUUCCAGAUUUCACCUAGAGAACUUGACUGCUAUUCACACUUGUAUUCUUAAUAUUGCCAGACUCUGACAAAGAAGUCAAUAUUAUCAUAGUAAAUUUUUCGACUAAUAGCGUGGACACCAAUAUCUCAUAUGAUUUAGGCAAGAAAGACAUUAAGAUAAUCACCUUACCUUCAUAAUCAAUCUUAAUGUCAAUAUCUAACAACUCUAUGACAUACUUAUUAAACUUAUUCAAAUGAUCCUUAGCAUUGAUAUCCUGAUCCAUCUCCAACUCGUAUAAUUGUACUGUCUUUGCUUCUAGUUCUUCUCGUUGUGAAUCUUUUGUCCCUACUAACAUCUUAUCCUCCAACACCUUGUAAACUCUUUGUUCCAAGAGAACAACUUGAAUAGUAGUACGUCUUUCUUAAAUUGCUCCACCUAACAUUUUACACUUGCCAUCAUCUUCAAUGCACUGAUAUCACUUUAUCGGGAAAAUUCCACCAUACACAUUGUCAAAUGCAGCAAAAAUAAGAAAUAAAAAAUGAACACAAAAUAGAAAAACUCAAAAUUUAAUGUGGUUCCAAAAACCGUUAAUGAUCAUAAGAGAAUAAAACUUUAUUAAAUGAGAAAACUUCACGAUGUGAAAUUCUGCUUACUUUCACAAUUUUUCCUUACACAAAACUAGAAUGCUCACCCACCCAUCCCGGUUUCUCUCUCUAAAGUUUGAGUCUCUCUCUCUCUCUAACCCAAUAGCAAGUUGCUUUCUGCUAUUAGUACACGUAUAUAUGUGAAAAUGUUAUUAAAACUGGUCCCGGCUCGACCAAUUUGA